GUGCUGUUCAUCAGCACUGUUCAUAAAGGAGAGGUGCUGUUCAUAAGAGAGGUGGAAUGACGGUUAGUGUGAUGUAAAGAGAAAAUCCCCGAGUUUGUUCGGGAAGCCUCGAUUGAUAAAAACCCGCCAACAGUAGAAGAGGAAGGGUUCAGGUUUUUUCGCUCUCUCGCUUCUCCUCCCUCUCAACUUGACAGUGGUGCAGUCGUGCAGGUUUUUAGCGCAUCGAAGAAGUAGUAGAUCGGAGAUUGAACCCAGAAGAAGAAACCGUUACGGUUUCUGAGAUGCUUCUCAUCUUGGCUACCAGAAAAGGCCACCAUAGAAGCACCCAAAGCUUCAGUUACAGAAAGCCACCCAUUACUCUUCCAAAGAUCUUUGCUUUCAACUCUUUCCUCAAUCGGAAGCCAGUUUGCUUGGAUCAAGAAGCUUCGACCAGCCAAGAAGGUAACUUUUUUCAUCUGGGUUGUGGAAGACAUUUGAGACUUGGAUUUAUAUAUGCUCCAUUUAUAUAUCAUUGAAGGUAGACAGAACUCUCCAGAAACCUUGAUAUGUAGGUUUUGAUGGCAGUUAAUAGCAUCGAUCAGGCUCUGAGAUAGAGAGGUAGGGCUGAAAACGAGUAGGAGAGGUUGCUGGGGUGGGAAAGAGAAGAGGAGGGGUUCAAGAUUGUGAUGGACUUAGAGACGAUACACCGGGGCCUUGUCUCUUCCUAAUAAUCAGGGGAUGACGAAGAGGAUGAAGAGCAGCAAUAUCAUUGUUCAGAUAGCCAAAAGUUUGAGGAGCAAAUUUUGUCUUCUUGGUGUCUCUUUUGGGAUACGGACUAUGAUCCGGCUUUAAAUCAUAGUCCAUUCUCAACCCGAUAGGCGACCAUUCUCUAUAAGGUACCAGCUCUGGAGCACAAUGUAAAGAUACAAGAAUGUACUAGCAGCGGCUUUUUAUCUGCGAAACUGGUAUGUGCUAGCAGCAGCCUUUCAUCUAACAAGCAAAGGAAGCUCUGGGCACCCGGAAAGUUAAUUUGAAACUUCGAAUACUCAACCCAUAGAUCACAAACCACCGGCAAUCCUCGGAGCUCCCGCCCCUCCAAGCAAAGCAAGCUUAGUAUCAAUCUAGCAGUCACCGGCACCUUGGUUUGGACACCCACCCUCCCAUCCCGAUAGAAUGUCACAGGUAGCUUCCUCAGCCCUCGGUGCUCGCUUCAACCCCACUUCACCUCUCGGCGGUGAUCAAGUUCGUAACAGCUCCUGCCGGUGGCUCAUCACAGCGGCACCUCCUGGUGGCAUCAUUCUUCCUUCCAACGACAAUCCCGGCAAUCUCACCGAUAGCCUCCAUUAGCUUUUGAAAUUGAUAGGGCCUAAUGUCUCCUCCCCAUGGGAGAAGAAUGAGAGCCUAAUAUGGCUGGGCAGACCCAGCAUCACUCAACCGAGAUCGCUCUGUUGCUCUUCAAGCUCGCUGCUUCCGGCGCUUGUAAUCGUAUGAUGCUGUAGUUUGAAUAUCCCAACACAGGCAGCCAAAUAGAUAAGUCCUUUAUGAUGAAUAUGAAUCGCAUCCUACAGUUUAGCAAUUACAAUAUCAACAUGAAGCAAGUUUCUAUCUUGUUCUAGUUGAGUAGAAAAUGAAAACAAGUGUUACAGUUCAAGAGAGGAAAUUAGGAGAUUUUGAAGUAAGGUUUCAGUUUUACUUUAUAUAUUCAAAUCUUCAUGUUUGUUAGGAAUUGAAGCUUAGAUAAUGAGCUCUGUAAUGGUAGUGGCUGUGGUCACUUGGAAUAAGAAGCCAUAAGACCACCUUGUGCCAAAAAUCAUGUAGUUGUUCUGCCUACUGAAUCAAAGUUGAACCAUCUCUCCUUUUCUUUGUUAAAGGAAAACGAAAAUGCCACGUCAAAUUUCUAUCAGGAAGAGGUGAAACCGCCCAAAUGAAAUAAUAAUGUUGCAGCUCUACAUUGGUUAAGAAGACUGCCGUGUGGAGCUCUUAAACAAGUAGCACCUUCUGGUUGCAUGACACUCCAGGAUGCAAAACUUAGACAUCACUGUGCAGUUGAACUAGUAAAGCAAAUUUGCAUAGAACUUUCACGUUCGCAUAUGUCAUGGCGUUUGAACUAUGUUUUGAAUUCAGAAAUCCUGUACAUAGCCACUCUUAAUGGGAUAACUGAAAUCAUUAGUACACUCCUUGGGUUUUUCCCUGAUCUAAUAUGGGCUCAGCUCAGCAACAACCAGUAUUUCUUACUUCCUUUUGCUAUUGAGCUUCGACAUGAAAAUAUUUUCCGUCUUGUGUGUGACCACACUGCACGCAGUAAAAUAAUGGCAUCUACAUUACUAGAAUCUGGCACCAUCUUGCAUUUGGCAGCAAAGUUGGCACCUCCGGCCCAACUUACAUCCGUAUGUGGUGCAGCUCUACAAAUGCAAAGAGAAUUGCCGUGGUUCAAGUUCAUCCUUAUUAUAAGCAGAGUAAGAAUGGAGAUGAAAAGACUGCUAAAGAACUAUUAAAGUUGGCCGAGAAAGGGGAGAAGUGGCUGAAUGAUACUUCGAAUGCAUGCAUGGUUGUUGCAACUCUAAUUGCUACGGUGGUUUUUGCUGCUGCUUUUACAGUUCCUGGUGGUAGCGACGAAGCAGAUGGAAACUCAAAUUUCUUAAUGUAGAAGCCAUUCAUAUUCAUGGUGUUUUUGGUUUCAGAUGCUGCAGUAGCUCUAUUUUCUUCUCUAACUUCAGUAUUGAUGUUUUUAUCCAUCCUCUUGGUAUGCUGAAGAAGAUUUCAUUGACUCACUGCCAAAGAGGUUGAUCAUAGGUUUGGCUUCUCUCUUCUGUGCUAUAGCUGCCACAAUGGUGGCCUUCGGUGCAACCAUUUCGAUUGUGCUCAGCAAGAGGUUCAGUUGGGUUUCUAUUCCGAUCACCUUGCUUGCCUCUUUUCCGGUGACUCUAUUUGCUCUGCUGCAGCUUCCCUUGUUUAUUCAAAAAGGAGUUGAACAAAGAAAAGAUUUGCCCUUCUGUUAUGUUGUGGUUUCAUUAAUUAUGAGUAAUUUUGUGCAGCGUUUAAAUUGACCUGUAUAGGCGUAUAGCAUGCUAUAUGUACAUAAAAUUAACUGAUCAAUCCAUAAAUGUAACUGUAUGGUAUUAUUCAUAUCAGAAAUUUAACGAUC